UACGUAGGGUGCGAGCGUUAAUCGGAAUUACUGGGCGUAAAGCGUGCGCAGGCGGCUUUGCAAGACAGAUGUGAAAUCCCCGGGCUCAACCUGGGAACUGCAUUUGUGACUGCAAGGCUAGAGUACGGCAGAGGGGCAUGGAAUUCCGCGUGUAGCAGUGAAAUGCGUAGAUAUGCGGAGGAACACCAAUGGCGAAGGCAAUCCCCUGGGCCUGUACUGACGCUCAUGCACGAAAGCGUGGGGAGCAAACAGG
rnacentral:rRNA from 1 species